rfam:Piriformospora indica DSM 11827, WGS project CAFZ01000000 data, contig: PIRI_contig_0392
GCCGACUUGGCUAAGCGGUAAGGCGUCCCACUCGUAAUGGGAAGAUGACUCGUUCGACUCGGGUAGUCGGCA